rnacentral:rRNA from 1 species
CCUACGGGUGGCAGCAGUAGGGAAUAUUGCUCAAUGGGGGAAACCCUGAAGCAGCCACGUCGCGUGAAGGAUGAAGGUUUUAGGAUUGUUAACUUCUUUUGUUAGAGAAGAUAAUGACGGUAUCUGACGCAUUAGCACCGGCUAACUCCGUGCCAGCAGCGGCGGUAAUACGGAGGGUGCAAGCGUUACUCGGAAUCACUGGGCGUAAAGCGCGCGUAGGCGGGAUAGAAAGUCAGAUGUGAAAUCCUAUGGCUUAACCAUAGAACUGCAUUUGAAACUGUUAUUCUAGAGUAUGGGAGAGGUAGGUGGAAUUCGUGGUGUAGGGGUAAAAUCCGUAGAUAUCAAGAAGAAUACUCAUUGCGAAGGCGACCUGCUAGAACAUAACUGACGCUGAUGCGCGAAAGCGUGGGUAGCAAACAGGAUUAGAUACCCUGGUAGUC